UUGAACGCUGGCGGCAUGCUUUACACAUGCCAGUCGAACGGCAGCACGGGGGCAACCCUGGUGGCGAGUGGCGAACGGGUGAGUAAUAUAUCGGAACAUGUCCGGAAGUGGGGGAUAACGUAGCGAAAGUUACGCUAAUACCGCAUAUGCCCUGAGGGGGAAAGGAGGGGAUCGCAAGACCUUUCGCUUUCGGAGUGGCCGAUAUCAGAUUAGCUAGUUGGUGAGGUAAAGGCUCACCAAGGCGACGAUCUGUAGCUGGUCUGAGAGGACGACCAGCCACACUGGAACUGAGACACGGUCCAGACUCCUACGGGAGGCAGCAGUGGGGAAUUUUGGACAAUGGGGGCAACCCUGAUCCAGCCAUUCCGCGUGAGUGAAGAAGGCCUUCGGGUUGUAAAGCUCUUUCAGCCGGAACGAAACGGUACGCUCUAACAUAGCGUGCUAAUGACGGUACCGGCAGAAGAAGCACCGGCUAACUACGU
rnacentral:rRNA from 1 species